rnacentral:rRNA from 1 species
CCUUCGGGGGGCAGCAGUGGGGAAUAUUGCGCAAUGGGCGAAAGCCUGACGCAGCGACGCCGCGUGAGGGAUGAAGGUCUUCGGAUCGUAAACCUCUGUCAGCAGGGAAGAACGGUCACUGUGCUAAUCAGCAGUGAAUUGACGGUACCUGCAAAGGAAGCACCGGCUAACUCCGUGCCAGCAGCCGCGGUAAUACGUAGGGGGCAAGCGUUAUCCGGUUUUACUGGGUGUAAAGGGAGCGUAGACGGCAGCGCAAGUCUGGAGUGAAAUCCCAUGGCUUAACCAUGGAACUGCUUUGGAAACUGUGCAGCUAGAGUGCAGGAGAGGUAAGCGGAAUUCCUAGUGUAGCGGUGAAAUGCGUAGAUAUUAGGAGGAACACCAGUGGCGAAGGCGGAUUGCUGGACAGUAACUGACGCUGAGGCGCGAAAGCGUGGGGAGCAAACAGGAUUAGAUACCCCAGUAGUC